rnacentral:rRNA from 1 species
GUGGGGAAUAUUGCACAAUGGGGGAAACCCUGAUGCAGCGACGCCGCGUGAGUGAAGAAGUAUUUCGGUACGUAAAGCUCUAUCAGCAAGGAAGAAAAUGACGGUACUUGACUAAGAAGCCCCGGCUAACUACGUGCCAGCAGCCGCGGUAAUACGUAGGGGGCAAGCGUUAUCCGGAUUUACUGGGUGUAAAGGGAGCGUAGACGGUAUGGUAAGUCAGAUGUGACAGCCCGGGGCUCAACCCCGGGACUGCAGUUGAAACUAUCAGACGAGAGUGCAGGAGAGGUAAGUGGAAUUCCUAGUGUAGCGGUGAAAUGCGUAGAUAUUAGGAGGAACACCAGUGGCGAAGGCGGCUUACUGGACUGUAACUGACGUUGAGGCUCGAAAGCGUGGGGAGCAAACAGGAUUAGAAACCCCAGUAGUCC